CGAUGAUGCCCAGCUUGCUGGGUGGAUUAGUGGCGAACGGGUGAGUAACACGUGAGUAACCUGCCCUUGACUCUGGGAUAAGCCUGGGAAACUGGGUCUAAUACCGGAUAUGACCUUCCAUCGCAUGGUGGUUGGUGGAAAGCUUUUGUGGUUUUGGAUGGACUCGCGGCCUAUCAGCUUGUUGGUGAGGUAAUGGCUUACCAAGGCGACGACGGGUAGCCGGCCUGAGAGGGUGACCGGCCACACUGGGACUGAGACACGGCCCAGACUCCUACGGGAGGCAGCAGUGGGGAAUAUUGCACAAUGGGCGCAAGCCUGAUGCAGCGACGCCGCGUGAGGGAUGACGGCCUUCGGGUUGUAAACCUCUUUCAGUAGGGAAGAAGCGUAAGUGACGGUACCUGCAGAAGAAGCGCCGGCUAACUACGUGCCAGCAGCCGCGGUAAUACGUAGGGCGCAAGCGUUAUCCGGAAUUAUUGGGCGUAAAGAGCUCGUAGGCGGUUUGUCGCGUCUGCCGUGAAAGUCCGGGGCUCAACUCCGGAUCUGCGGUGGGUACGGGCAGACUAGAGUGAUGUAGGGGAGACUGGAAUUCCUGGUGUAGCGGUGAAAUGCGCAGAUAUCAGGAGGAACACCGAUGGCGAAGGCAGGUCUCUGGGCAUUAACUGACGCUGAGGAGCGAAAGCAUGGGGAGCGAACAGGAUUAGAUACCCUGGUAGUCCAUGCCGUAAACGUUGGGCACUAGUGUGGGGGACAUUCCACGUUUUCCGCGCCGUAGCUAACGCAUUAAGUGCCCCGCCUGGGGAGUAC
rnacentral:rRNA from 1 species